rnacentral:rRNA from 1 species
UGCAGUCGAACGGUGAUGGCCAGCUUGCUGGUCUGAUCAGUGGCGAACGGGUGAGUAACACGUGAGCAACCUGCCCUUCACUCUGGGAUAACCACGGGAAACGGUGGCUAAUACCGGAUAUGAGACGUACACGCAUGUGUCGCGUCUGGAAAGAUUUAUCGGUGAAGGAUGGGCUCGCGGCCUAUCAGCUUGUUGGUGGGGUAGUGGCCCACCAAGGCGACGACGGGUAGCCGGCCUGAGAGGGCGACCGGCCACACUGGGACUGAGACACGGCCCAGACUCCUACGGGAGGCAGCAGUGGGGAAUAUUGCACAAUGGGCGCAAGCCUGAUGCAGCGACGCCGCGUGAGGGAUGACGGCCUUCGGGUUGUAAACCUCUUUCAGCAGGGAAGAAGCGCAAGUGACGGUACCUGCAGAAGAAGCGCCGGCUAACUACGUGCCAGCAGCCGCGGUAAUACGUAGGGCGCAAGCGUUGUCCGGAAUUAUUGGGCGUAAAGAGCUCGUAGGCGGUUUGUCGCGUCUGCUGUGAAAACCUAAGGCUCAACCUUGGGCUUGCAGUGGGUACGGGCAGACUAGAGUGCGGUAGGGGUGACUGGAAUUCCUGGUGUAGCGGUGGAAUGCGCAGAUAUCAGGAGGAACACCGAUGGCGAAGGCAGGUCACUGGGCCGCAACUGACGCUGAGGAGCGAAAGCAUGGGGAGCGAACAGGAUUAGAUACCCUGGUAGUCCAUGCCGUAAACGUUGGGCACUAGGUGUGGGGCUCAUUCCACGAGUUCCGUGCCGCAGCAAACGCAUUAAGUGCCCCGCCUGGGGAGUACGGCCGCAAGGCUAAAACUCAAAGAAAUUGACGGGGGCCCGCACAAGCGGCGGAGCAUGCGGAUUAAUUCGAUGCAACGCGAAGAACCUUACCAAGGCUUGACAUACACCGGGAAAAGUGCAGAGAUGUGCUCCCCGCAAGGUCGGUGUACAGGUGGUGCAUGGUUGUCGUCAGCUCGUGUCGUGAGAUGUUGGGGUUAAGUCCCGCAACGAGCGCAACCCUCGUCCCAUGUUGCCAGCG